rnacentral:rRNA from 1 species
GUCUACGGCCAUACCACCCUGAGCGUGCCCGAUCUCGUCCGAUCUCAGGUUCAUUAGGCUUGGGUGGGGCCUGAGACU